rnacentral:pre_miRNA from 1 species
UGUUGGGACGGAUGCAGCCUGGCUCGAUGCUUAAACAGUGUAUAUAGUUUUGUUUGAGUGCCGGACCAGGCUUCAUCCCCUUCAA